GAACUCUGAAGGAGAUUUCAGAAAAGAGAAAAAAAGCCUAAAAUGAACAUUAGAGAAAAAGGCCCAUCAAAUGAAUAAAAGAGAAAAAAGACCCAAUUUAAAUAAAAGAGAAAAAGGCCCAAAUAGUUAAACAAUAGAGAAAAAAGAUCAAAUAUUGAGCAUUAGAGAAAUAAGGCCCAGAUAUAUUGAGUAUUAGAGAAAUAGGCAAAAAUAUUACACAUUAGAGAAAUAGGCCCAAAUAUUGAACAUUAGAGAAAAGGCCCAAAUAUUGAGCAUUAUAGAAAUAGGCCCCAAUAUUGAACAUUAGAGAAAAAGGCCCAAAAUUUGAACAUUAGUGAAAAAGGCCC
rnacentral:lncRNA from 1 species